rnacentral:misc_RNA from 1 species
AUUGUCAUCAAUUCUUGGAAGUUGUAAGAGAAAAAUAAUUACGAUAAUUCAUGUGUCUUCAGUUAUAUGGUGCUCUCUAGAGAAGAUUAUCUCAUUACGAUACAGCAUCAGCAUCAGCAUUUCACUAAGAUUUACUGGUGGAUGCCUUCAACAACAACAUCUUCUUUGUGUGACGUCUUCCUUUUCCUCUUCUUUUUCACACUUCCCUCGUCAUUAUUUAACUUUUUAUCAUUUGUAACCACGGGCUUCUUUUUCUUCUUGAGUACUGAGAGUGGAUUUGGACCCUUAGCUUUCUUUCUCUUGCGAACUUUAUCCUUGCGCUCCACAUUUAUAUUAGUAAUCUGAUCCUCCAGGUCAGUUAUAGGAAGACGUUCUUCUUCAGAAGAUUUGGCAAACUGACUUUGAGAUGGUGAAGGGUCUUCGACAAAUGAUUCCUCCUCCAGAGCAGAGAUUAGGGGCACACAAGGUAUCACUCGAAGACUUCCACGCAAAUCACCAUCUUGAGUUUCAUCUUCUUUCUGUGACGUCUUCCUUCUCCUCUUCCUUUUCACACUUCCCUCACCAUUAUUUAACUUCUUAUCAUUUGUAACCACA